GAUGAACGCUAGCUACAGGCUUAACACAUGCAAGUCGAGGGAACGGCGCACGGGUGAGUAACACGUAUCCAACCUGCCCUUUCCUCGGGGAGAGCCUUUCGAAAGAAAGAUUAAUACCCGAUAUAAAGGAUGGGGAUGCCUACCAGUAGGGUGUUGGUGAGGUAACGGCUCGCAAAGCCUUCGAUGGAUAGGGGUUCAGAGAGGAAGUGCCCCCACAUUGGAACUGAGACACGGUCCAAACUGCUACGAGCGGCCGCAGUGAGGUAUAUUGGUCAAUGGGCGCUAGCCUGAACCAGCCAAGGAGCGUGAAGGAGGAAGGCGUAUCGAUCGUAAACUUCUUGUAUAUAAGAAAAAGUAUUAGAUUAAUAAGGAUCGGCUAACUCCGUGCCAGCAGCCGCGGUAAUAC
rnacentral:rRNA from 1 species